CCGACCAUGAUCGGAAUAAGUUCUGCCUCGCCUCCUUCCUCCAUUACUAUCUUUAUUAUUUCAUCUUUCUGACGGUCGAUUCCCAUUUGUAGUUGAUUUACACUAUGUUCGAACUAGAGGCCGGAUACCGAAGGUUCAGAGACAUUUGGACGGCCUGGAAGGACAGGGCGACGACCGUCGAAGUCGAAAAGGCAGUACUGGUCGAGCAGUUGAAGCUGUCGACCGAUCGGGAGGUGAGGCUCGAGGAUG
rnacentral:lncRNA from 1 species